AGCGAACGCUGGCGGCAGGCUUAACACAUGCAAGUCGAACGGGCAUCUUCGGAUGUCAGUGGCAGACGGGUGAGUAACACGUGGGAACGUACCCUUCGGUUCGGAAUAACUCAGGGAAACUUGAGCUAAUACCGGAUACGCCCUUUUGGGGAAAGGUUUACUGCCGAAGGAUCGGCCCGCGUCGGAUUAGCUUGUUGGUGGGGUAACGGCCUACCAAGGCGACGAUCAGUAGCUGGUCUGAGAGGAUGAUCAGCCACACUGGGACUGAGACGCGGCCCAGACUCCUACGGGAUGCAGCAGUGGGGAAUAUUGGACAAUGGGCGCAAGCCUGAUCCAGCCAUGCCGCGUGAGUGAUGAAGGCCUUAGGGUUGUAAAGCUCUUUUGUCCGGGACGAUAAUGACGGUACCGGAAGAAUAAGCCCCGGCUAACUUCGUG
rnacentral:rRNA from 1 species